UACGUAGGGCGCAAGCGUUAUCCGGAUUUAUUGGGCGUAAAGAGCUCGUAGGCGGUUUGUCGCGUCUAUCGUGAAAGUCCGAGGCUCAACCUCGGAUCUGCGGUGGGUACGGGCAGACUAGAGUGAUGUAGGGGAGACUGGAAUUCCUGGUGUAGCGGUGAAAUGCGCAGAUAUCAGGAGGAACACCGAUGGCGAAGGCAGGUCUCUGGGCAUUUACUGACGCUGAGGAGCGAAAGCAUGGGGAGCGAACAGG
rnacentral:rRNA from 1 species